CGCCGUAGAGGGGGAUAACUACUGGAAACGGUGGCUAAUACCGCAUAAUGUCUACGGACCAAAGCAGGGGCUCUUCGGACCUUGCACUAUCGGAUGAACCCAUAUGGGAUUAGCUAGUAGGUGGGGUAAAGGCUCACCUAGGCGACGAUCUCUAGCUGGUCUGAGAGGAUGAUCAGCCACACUGGGACUGAGACACGGCCCAG
rnacentral:rRNA from 1 species